rnacentral:rRNA from 1 species
CGUGAUGGUGGGGACUCAUAGGAGACUGCCGGGGUCAACUCGGAGGAAGGUGGGGAUGACGUCAAAUCAUCAUGCCCCUUAUGUCUUGGGCUUCACGCAUGCUACAAUGGCCGGUACAAAGGGCUGCGAUACCGCGAGGUGGAGCGAAUCCCAAAAAACCGGUCUCAGUUCGGAUUGGGGUCUGCAACUCGACCCCAUGAAGUCGGAGUCGCUAGUAAUCGCAGAUCAGCAACGCUGCGGUGAAUACGUUCCCGGGCCUUGUACACACCGCCCGUCAAGUCACGAAAGUCGGUAACACCCGAAGCCGGUGGCCCAACUCUUUGAGAGGGAGCCGUCGAAGGUGGGACUGGCGAUUGGGACUAAGUCGUAACAAGGUAGCCGUACCGGAAGGUGCGGCUGGAUCACCUCCUUUCUAAGGAG